rnacentral:rRNA from 1 species
UAGGGAAUCUUCGGCAAUGGACGAAAGUCUGACCGAGCAACGCCGCGUGAGUGAAGAAGGUUUUCGGAUCGUAAAACUCUGUUGUUAGAGAAGAACAAGGACGUUAUUAACUGAACGUCCCCUGACGGUAUCUAACCAGAAAGCCACGGCUAACUACGUGCCAGCAGCCGCGGUAAUACGUAGGUGGCAAGCGUUGUCCGGAUUUAUUGGGCGUAAAGCGAGCGCAGGCGGUUUCUUAAGUCUGAUGUGAAAGCCCCCGGCUCAACCGGGGAGGGUCAUUGGAAACUGGGAGACUUGAGUGCAGAAGAGGAGAGUGGAAUUCCAUGUGUAGCGGUGAAAUGCGUAGAUAUAUGGAGGAACACCAGUGGCGAAGGCGGCUCUCUGGUCUGUAACUGACGCUGAGGCUAGAAAGCGUGGGGAGCAAACAGG